GUUUUAUUAGCAACUUCUGCUUGUCCCCCCAAUUUCUGUGAAGAAUAUGCAACUUAUGUGCAAAACUGGCUGCUAGGUGAAGGCUUGCCCACUGAGAAGCCCAGGGGAAGUUACUUGUGGAAUAUUGGUGUCUGCUUCCAGGAACGGUCAUUUUCCAGUCUGCCAGAUGACAGUCAACAUAACCGAGAAGUUUAAGCAACUUCCCUGUUGUUACCCUUCAGAGACGGAUAUUUCACCCAACAAGCACGAACUAGACUAACAUAGAUGAAGUGCAUUCCUGCAUCUUGCUCUUUUCAUCCUUCUAGCCAUCUCUGGGCAUUUGUUGUCAUCAUCAUCCAUCUGCUAGAGAGAAGACUCUCCAUCAGACGCUGAGGUCCCGCAAAACUUGCCUAAUUGAACUGAAAUUAAUAUUCUUCAAAAGCACGCGUGUUACGGCAUACUGGCUGCUGCAUUUACCCGGAGAUCUCCCUUCAGUAAGAACUGUAACAGGAGCUUGCUGGAUCUUGGCUCUGUUUAGGGUGAGAAUGAGAGGAAUUGAGGAUGCCCUUGUUCUGCACAAAGCCCAGGAGAAGAACGAGACACAGGAGGCGUUGCCUGCCUCCAGCCACAGCCCAGGCACAGGGGGCAGAGGCACAUCCACAGCCACCGUGGCGCAGCUGACUUCCUCCGCAGCCAGAAGUGAUGGGAGAAAACUCUGGUGCUGAGUCGCAUUUCCUUCCCGUGGGCUUGUGCUGGGAUGGACAGACGUGUCUGCACUGUGCCAGCAAGGCCUCACCACUUGUCUCCUGUUGGGUGAGCGUGCUGGACUGCUUGAGGUGGAUGCAGUGGUCCCCAUCAGAUGCGUGCCAAGUUGAAAUGCCAGCAGCUGUGUGAGCCGCGGGAUAAUCGUCCGUAUCUGCUGGUUCUCUCUUCCAAGUCCUGACAUUCCCAUUUCAGCAGUGGUGUGUCCAUGCUCAGCUCUGUGGGAGGAAAUCCAUCGACUGAAGCCGUGCUGACACCUGGGGGAUGCUGUUACACGCACAUCAGUCACCUGUCUGACUGCAGACCCACUGGAGGAACAGCCAGAACUGUACAGUGGUGUUCACCUUUAGCUUUCAGAAUAUUUACAAGAUUCACUUAAUGUUAAAAUAAUCAUUUAAAAAGAGAGAUGGGGAAAAAAAAAACUGAAAUCCAAGAAAGAAAUGAUGAAAAAAGCCUUACCCAGAAGCUUGCAAAUCAUCAGCUGGCUGAAUUUUUAUAAACUUUUGGGAAACAAAGUGUAGGAAAAUGGGACAAGGCGUCAGAUGGUUGGCGAACGCAACCCUGAAGGCAGCAGUUUUUAUCAACUUCUCCUGCUGACCAGAUGAAGGCUCAGUGAUAAAUAAACAUCCUCCCAUCCACUGCAGUUCCCCAGCCCUCACCAUCCCCUGCUGCUCACCAGGAUGCAAAGCAAUGGACUGUCCUCAAAGAGGGCUAUGAGCUGCACUGCCAGUGGGGAAGAACUGCUUCUGCUCAUCCAGGUAAUGUCACUGCCAGUCACUGUGUUGGCUGGAAAUUCUCCACCUGGUCCUGAGCUGUGCCACCUGCAGAUCCCUGUACCCACUGGUAAGGCUGAUACACAGGAGCUGGUAGGAAUAUUUUCAUAGCUGACAAGCUGUUUCCCAUGAACAGUGUCAAAGAUUUAAAAGCCACUUCUGCAAAUGGGACUUUCUGGCAAAUACGCACUAAGCAAAUCUUUUAUUAUUACCAUAUGGCUAAGAGUACUCCCAGAGUUCUCCUGGAAAUGGGUACUGUACCAGCAGAAAGCAAUAUUCUGUUGGCCUGUGCAUUGCCUCAAGGGUAUUUACCAUGGUAAUAAGAUCAGUAAUUCAUCUCCUAAAAUCACUGGGAGUACAAAUGCUUAUUUAAGUAGAUGGUAUCUUGAUUGCAACUGAGUCAGGAGAGCUCUUAAAGCUGCCUAUUUAGGCUACAGAUCUUCUGUUAAAGGCAAAGGGCUGGUGGUUCUUGGUAAACACAAGAACAUCGCGUUUCACAGCUACCUUGCGUUUUCAGCAACCCAUGGUAGAUCCCUUGGUACAUCCCUUGGUGAGAUGAACUCACACAAAUACGUUUUCAAGAAACGUUUAGAUAUAGCGUUGAGAGACAUGGUUUAGUGGGGUUAUUGGUGGUAGGUGGAUGGUUGGACUAGGUGAUCUUGUAGGUCUUUUCCAACCUAGCUAAUUCUAUGAUUCUAUGAUUCUAAAUAUGUUAGGAAAUGAUGCCUCUUGCUUUUUUUUCCACUAUUUUUUGUUUGCUUUUUACUUUCCAUAGCAGUGUAAUGGGAAGAGAGAUAAAUCUCUCCAUCCCCAAAUGAUUUGUUAGAAGAAAAGAGGCAGAGAGAAAGCCAUCGUUGCUUAUAUUCCAACAGCACCUGGGGUCACCUGAACCCCACUGCUCUAGGGGAUGCAGCACCAACAGAAAUUAAGAGGCAGCCUUGGCCCUGAAAGGGAAAAAUCUGGGGGGUAAAAGUAUUUACUUUGUCACAGAGUAAGCCAGUGCCAGGGAAGCAUCCUACAUUUCUGAGACAUUUGCUAGUCUUCAGACUCAGUGGCCUCUGCUCUGGAAGUCCUGGAGGCUUACAGGCUUGUCUGACUGCUUUUAUUUUGUGUACAAAGCUGAUCAAGAGAAAAUGAUUUUUUAUAACAAAGGCAUACAAAUGGAAGUUGAAAGACCUAGCUUCUAAUCCCAAACUCUGCUACAGGAACUCUUCACAGAAGGAAUGAUACGAUCCAAAAAUAGAGAAAUCCAUCAAAUUGUUUUAUUUGAGGAAAACCGUAAUGUGUCCUCUGAGAAUCCAGAAUGAGUGCUUAUAGCACUAUGACAGAAAAGUCUCAGGUGGUCCAUAGUGAUUCACAUUGGUGAUGUGGUAUUGGAGGUGAAUCACAUAAAAACUGAGCUAGAAGUGGCUAAACCAGAUGUUCUCUAGUUUGCCAAGAAACCUGAGCAAGGAUAUGUGGCUGAAAUGGAAAGCAUUAGGCAUUUUCCUGCAGAAUGCUUUUCUGUGCUUUAACUUCGUCAGUACUCUUCCUUCUCCUCACAGUUAUUAAGCUAAACAUCACUGGGGCAUGUGCAAAUUUGAUGAGAGAAAUAUUAGUUUAUACUCUCUCUGUAUGUGAGAAAUUAAGGAUUUUUCAGCAGGCACAAUUCUUCCUUGUGAAUCAGAGUUUUCGCCUUAAUUUUUUCUGCAGUAACGGAGCAUAACGAACGUUUGAAAUAACUUUCACCAGCUUGAUCACUGUUGUCAGAUAGACUAUAUAUGCAAAUGAAACCAGUACAUUUUGGUGAAGUUCUCUGGAUUCCACCAGAAUUUAUAUAAUUUUAUUUCAUUAUUUAACAGCACUUAACACUUAGGUAGCAGUUUCCAUCCUCAGUGACAAGCUUAUGAAUCAAUGCAACGCCUCUGAAAGGAGCAUUUCUAAGUAUUCCUAUUAGAAUGAGAAAUUUUAAAAUGUAUGGAUGUGUUCUGAAGUGUUGGUUAAACAGCCGAAGAAACCCAGGUUUUGAAUUUGGGAGUUUGUGGUUUCUGUCCUCUGCUCAGGCCAGACUCUUGUGGCACACAGACCCCUUUAUGUGCUUAAUGGAUCAAGCUCUGCUGGGUUUAGAGCCACACAUCAGCGUGGCAGUACUCCGACUUUGAAAUGUAGUGAUAACACAACUAGUUUUUGUAAUUGCUGCCUAGAGGACCUGAGAUGGGAAUACGGCAUGCGGCUGCAAUUUGUUCUUUCCAGCUUUAACACUUGCAGGAGCUGGAAGGUUUGUUUCCAGUGCGCAGUAUGUAGUGUAGUGCUGAAUGACCUCUGCCUUCUUUCGUGCUAAUAGGUGUGACAGUGUUGGGUUAACAAAUAAUUCAAUCCUGAUGUAGUGAUAGUAAUUUUGUCUAGAGUGAAAUCUGUUGAGUUCCCUCAUCUCUUUCCUGUGCUUGCUAUUGUAGGACACUUACAGUACCGCUGCUCUGUUCUUUUAGCCAAGACAGUGUCAGAUGAAUGUCUUCUGCCAGCUACAACUUAUGAAAAAAAUGUAUAUUUUAUCCAGUAAGUUUGAUUUAGGAAAUGAGGUUUGUUCACUGUUACCACCAUUCAAGUGCAGUGAAAGAGGCCUCCUAUAAAGGAUAUAAUGAAAGACAAACCAUUCCAGUUGGUUACUACAGGCAUAUCAAUAAAGAUCACCUCCUGCAUACAUCAAAUGAUCGAUAGCAAGUUUUAAAGCUUUUUCAGUUCUCUGCUAGUGCUAUCCAACUGCAAUAUAACACAAGGAUUUCUCUGAUACCCUUCCAGAUAAACCCCUCGUGCUUCAUGUAAGAAGAGCUUCAAGAAUAGUAAAAGAAUAAAAAAUCCCAACAAAAAGGAAAGGCUGCUGUUGGCUUAUUCCCUACAGUCAAAGAAGAAGGGGACAAGAGGGAAAAGUCUUUGCUCAGUUUUUUGUUAUGAGCCAUCUUCACCCAUGAUAUGGCAUUUGCACUAUGGAAUUCACCCUGAAUAAAUGGGAAUGCCAAUGUAUUCACCUCCUGAAGACAGGACACAGCCCUCAGACUGAAUUAGCUCCAGCCGGAUAGUUUUUUGAAAUCUCCACAAUUAUCAGACCUGGAAGAUUUUUCCAUCGUGCUGGCCUGGGCGUUUGGUGGGUGAGUAAACUGUAAUUAAUUUGUUUUGUUUUUCCUUAUGAAGUAAGUGUAGAAUACACCAAACAAGUUGGUCACAUAUUUGGACCUGGGCUUCUCACAAAAGUUCUCCAAAACCCUCUGAAAUGUCUGAAUAUUUAGUAAGUAGAUCGUGAAAUAUUUUCCAGCAACAAAAAUACAAAUGCAAAAAUACAAUAGAGUAAUGAUAUUGGGAUGUAGUUUUGUGCUAAUGACUUUAUUUUCUUCUUCCUCCUGUUCAGGUAGUAACAUGCAAACUGACCACAUCACCAGUGUGAAAUUGCUGAUUAACCUUUUGACUCUGACAAUUGGGACUUCUCUUAACACCAGCUGGUAAUGCAAAAGACCAUUAGUAGUUAAUAUUGGGACACCCCACCUCCGGAUGUCAAAAGGUUAAUGAAAAAUCAAGUAUCUUGCUUUUACUGGGAAACUUGGAAACCUUCCCACCAAACAUUUCAUUUUUUGUGAUAAAUAAGCCAGACCGCUUCAGCUGAGAAAGACGGGUGUUUUGCUAAUGUGUACAGCUGUUAAUUGAAAAAGAUUCUGUUAUGCCUGUUCUUCUGGAUGUAGAUAAAAGAGAGAUUUGUUGGUGAACUUUAGUUGGUCCUGAACACCCCUUUGUCCAAAUACACUGCUCAAUAAUAACGCUUUGUUCUUUUUGUAACAGCCAUGGAAGGAUUUUGAGUGGAAUACUCAUUUUCUUUAAGUCAUAUCUGCCAGUGAUCAUUCUUGGCUUAAGAUCAGCUGCCAUUUAUGUGUUUUAUGAAAAUAUAACACCAGUUUUAUGCUCAAAACUAUUCUUUUUUAGGUAAAAGCUUCAGCACAAACUGGUUCCCCAUAUGUACCAUAAAUGCUAUUUAUCACAGGUUUUGGUCUUUAAAACAGAAAGAUAAUGUUAAAACACUUUCAUUACCCUUUCCUUACAGCUAUCAUUCACAAACCAUCUUUUAUAAUUAUGGUACUAGGACAUUUACAUAACUGGGAAAAAGGUCCUUAAACUACAUUUCUAUUAUGUUUGGCACUUGUGUGAAAGGAUAUUAUAUUCAUGUGCAUUAGAGAUUGCUUAUAAAAGAUCAAGACAAUAAUAGCAGAUCAGACGAUAAAGGUUCCCUUUUCUCCUCCCAGACAGGCUGUCUCUGACAGAAGAAUACAGUUCAUCAAAAGUGUCUGCAGGUUGUCAAACUCAGUGAGAUUUGGGGACACUCUGAGGCUGUCAUGGCCAACAAGAAGAUUUUCUGUAGGGUUCUGCCAUCAUUCACCCUCAGGAAAUAAUCACUCACUACAUUCUGCAUGCUCUCAUGAUAGAGCUCUAUUUGAGAGAAAAGAGCCAUUUUAUCAAAGGACAAUAUAUCCCUUCUCUUGGUCCAUGCAGCUUCCAUUAUCAGACCAUAAUAAAUCAUAUUUAUGUUCUCAGUUAAUAAGACUGAUUACAAUGCAGGUUACAGGCAUGGGAAAAGCAAAGCAGGUGAAAAGAUGUUUUAAUGAAAAUAUGAUAAGCAAACAGCUUCUUGUGAACAUUUCAGGCUGUUAUUUGUAAUGAUCACAGGCAAUUUUUGAUACAUCUUCUUUAGCAAUGGUUUAAGCUGCAUAAAUUGGCUUGCCACUUUAUACAUCGAAAUAGAAAGAAUCCCAGUGUCCUUCUUAUGUUGUCUAGAAUCAUUAUAUACAUUAUAAGCAUAAAAUGAGUUUAAUGUAUGUGCUUUGAAAAGAGGGGGAAAACAGAAAAUCAGGGAGGACCGAUUUUAAUGCUGCUCAAAAUGAUUUUGAAAUUUUCUACUCAUCUUUGUUACUAACGGUGCAUUUUCCAUGAAAUUUAGGGAUGACAUGUGGUGCUUUCAUCUCCUUAAAAUUAAUAUACUUCUCUUUCUGUUUUUCUCAAUUUCUUCAAAGUUCUUUUUAGAACACUGCACAAAGAGACAGAAAAUUCUCCACUCGAUGUGUGAACAUAUCUGUUAUUAAUGCUGGGGGGAGUUAAGUGUGUGCUCCUAGAGGAGAAUAUACCCCUGCGUUAAAUAUUGAAAUAAACCCUAUUAAAAAGGUGCAAGGAUAUUUAGCUGCAGCACACCUGAUGCAUUCAAGGGCCACAUUCCUUAUAGUCUUUUGAAGUGAUUAAGAUCUCUUUUGUUAAGAGAUCUCCAAUAAUCUCCAAUGAUUUCAGAACAUAACUGUACCUAAAUAAAUGAUGAAAUGUCCCGCUCUUGUCUUGUGAAAAGCCUUCUUUUGUGUUUUGUUGUUGUUUUCUUUUGUGUUGUUGCCAUUUGGUUUAUGUUUAGCAUCAUACUUUCAAGACAAAGUUAAAAAUUUAAAGAAUUAUUUCCUCCUGCAAGCACGUAGUGCUGACUAAGUCUUUCAAAAUCUACAGCACUUGCAGAAUGCAAGCAUUAUGCUUAUCAUGUAUAUAGUGAUUCUAGACGAUAUAAGAAAGACACUGGGAUUCUUCCUAUUUUGAUGUAUAAAGUGGCAAGCCAGUACAGAAGUCUCCAUGGUGUUGUGUGUCUGCAGGAACUGUUCUGGUCACUGGUAUUUCUGAAACUCUCUUAAAAAUUUUUUAAAGCUUUGUAAUUGGCCUGGCAAUGGAGAAUGACCAUGAAAUUCCCUUAACCCUUUUAGGGCACUUCAGCAGGAGAAGUGAUCGCACAAGAAACAGUAAACUGCUCUUCAAAGGCAGUAUCCUGAUAUGACAACAGACAUAGAUAAUGCACUUCAUGAUGGAACUGCUUGAUACGGAGAAAAACAUGUUGUAACUGCCUUCACCAUGAAAGGGGCUUAAAAAUGCUGCCUGCCAACUCCACAAAAAACAGAGCUGCUAUUUCAGUUAAAGGCCAGUGGAUUGUAUUUUUCAUGUCAGUUUUCACUAACCUCAAACAUCACUGUUAUGACAGACUGUCAUCCAACCAAACCAGCACUGUGGUGCCAUUCAGGCAAGCAGGAAGAAAGCAAACACAAAGGAAACUUAGAAGUCCAAAUAGUAAGAGAGGGUGUCUGUGAGUGAACUACUUUUCUGUAGUGAUACUGAUUACUGAAAAUGAAACACUUAAAAGAAAAUAAACCCAAAAAAGUGCUUUCUGAGCCAUUGGUGUUUUCUUGCCUGGCAAUUUCUCUUUGUUCUGUUUCAUGACAUCAGCUUCAAUGGUUGAAAGGGUGUUCUGGGCCAGAUGUCAAUCACAAUGUCUGACAUAAACAAAAAUAGCUAAAAAGACAUGCCGGCAUCUUCCUUUUGUUUUCCCAUUAGCUCCAUUUUUCUUUUCACAGGCUGACAAAAAAUUACUGCCUCCAAGUGAAUUCAGUAAUGUCACUAUAUAUCUAAUAUCUAGGAGACCUUUUGUUUUAGCUUUACUGGGCUUAACCACAAAAGACACUUGACAUUGACAAAGAGUCUGUCAAAUAUACAAUGAUCAGUGCAAUGAAAUCUCUCGUGACAGAAGGGCACUAUUCUGCACCCCCAGCCUGCAGCAGCCUGUCUGAGCAAAAUGUGCUGGAGCACACGCAGCAGCUGAACCAUUGCAGAGCAGGCCAUAAGCUGAGACAUGUCUUGUUUAAAGUGUCAUAGUAUAUUAGUGUAAUUAAAACCGCCAAAAGAAUAGAAAAGAUAGAUGGAAAUGUUACAUUACUUGUUUCUAGAGAUUAACCUCCAGCCAGAACUGAAAUACAGACACAUUUUGCAUGUCUUAGAGCUUCGAUAUGGAAGAAAACAAGCCUGAGAGUAUGUCUCUUGAAGUGUGAGACGUGAAGUCAUAGUUCCUGUAUUUACACAAUAAAGCAGAAAUAGCGUUUCAGACAGGCACGCUGUUUUCUCUCUGAUUACAGCUCCUGUUGUGGCUGUACUCUGCAAAGCAGCUGUACCAUCUCUCAGCUACUUCCCUUUUACUCUCCUCUGCCUUCAUGCUUGCAAGGUCUUGAGGACCCUUGGGCCCGUGUAUGUGCUGGUGUCACUGCCUUCUGCUCCCCUGGCAUCUGCCAGUGCUGCAUGGGCCCAGUCUGGAGGCAGAGCACCCUGUCCCUCCCUGCUGGUGGCUGCAGAAGCCACAGCUCAGCUUCAGGCUCAGCAACGCCCAGCUAGGAAGAUGUUUGAAGAAUGGCUUCAAUCUGACCUUUAUAUACCAGGCUACAUGCUUGCUUCUCUGUUGAGUCUACAGAUAAAACAGUAUGGCUUUCUGAAAUUGACCCUGAAAAUUACAUUCCCUGCACUGGAUGUUUUCCUUCCCAUGCAUCAUUACCUGUGAUAACUACUCAGCCUAACUAGUUAUGAUCUCUGUAUCUAACCAUGACACAAGUUAUAUCUGAUGGUGAAAAACCUUUGGAGUUUUUAUGGACCUAUUAAGUUGUAGAGGCUGGACCUCAGUUUAUCCAGAAGCUGGAGAGGACCUAAACUGGCUUCAGCAGUUCUGAAACACUGUAAAAGCAGCACGGCUAUCUUCUAAUGUACACCUUACAUUCAAGGAGAAGAUACAUUAAUCGGAUUCAUCUCAGUGACUGUGAAAUUCCUGAGGAUGUUAUUACUUUCAAGUCAGAUUACCAGAGUAAUUUCCAGCUUAGUUGGGCCAAGAAGUAAGAAAGAGCUCCCAAAGCAGGACAAGUGUCUGACACAGCACCGCAACACAAGAACGCCUUACAGCUACUUUUCCUUCAUGGAAAUCUGUAAAAAAAUGUCAGCUGGGGACUUCGUGAGUUUCUGUCUGGAGUCAAAAAUUAAGUGUUCAUUCCCCGCACCACGGGAGAGGAAAAGGAUGGAAUCUGUGGUAGGUGACACAAUGCCUGUCUGAUCGUGCUCAGCCCUAAGCAAGUCUUUAAAGAUGAGACCCUCGAGUGUUUUCUGGCAUCAUGGAGCCCACAGGCAGCACUCAGAGAUUCCCUGCUCACAGAACAUCUGUCUGAUGAAGUCUGUCUGCUUUCAGUAUUUUGCACAACUGGAACAAUAUUACACUGCUUCCUUGAUGAGUGUAUGAAGUGAGUUUGGACUGGUUCAGCGGAGGGGAGCUGUUUAUGAAUGGACUCAGUUCACAAAUGCAUGACAUCUGAGAAGAGUUUGCCGGGCUUUGCCUGCUCUGGCAGCGUGUGCAGCACGGAGCUUGCAGGAGCUGCUCACUGCUUGACAACCUUGGUACCAGAACUCAUGAUGCUGCUCUUAAAGAGGACCUCAAAAACUUUGAGAAAGAAAACAAUUCCAUCUUUUUUGAUCAGGUUCUUCCUCUACAGGAGUUCCUGCAGCUGCAGGACCAGGAGGUAAGAGCCUUGGUUUCAACAGUAAAGGGGAAGAAUGAAUGAGAUUGCCAGAUACACAGUUUGCAGUCAGUGAGGUGAGAAAAGCAUGACUACCAGCUACCUUUCUGCUUUCCAAAUCCUAGAUUGGUGAGAAAUUAAAACAUCGUUUACGUCAGCCUGCAGGUAUGGAGUAUACUUCACCUCCCAUGAACUGGGGAUGGAAAGUGAAGGAGGGACUGUUGUGAAGAUGCUGGUUCUUCUCUCUCCAAAGACUUCCUGCUGAGGAGAAUCCUCAGUUGUCCAUUUAGGGUAGUAUUAGAGCUGUGCUGAAUUGCUGAGGCAUGCAAAGAAGCUGCAGAUGGAGCUCGGAGAACAGUUCCACACUUCUCUGUUGAGCCACCCAGUUACAGCAAAUGCCUGCUAUAGAUGGGUACUACGGCUGCUGGUAACGGCUAGAGGCAGAGAUGUGGGUCUGGUUUUAAUAAAAAGGUAGUUUACGAACAGCAUUUUUCUUAUUUUAAUGAUAAAAUGGAUAUGAAACAGUUGCACUCCAGGCCCUUAUUUUUCAGUGCUAUUGUUUCUUUAGAACACUGAAAACAAAAUAAGCAGGAGGAGAAAAAAAAAGGAGGGGAAAAGAAAACUCCCUUCAGACAACAAUCACCUUUUGAGCUAAAUUCUCAUGCUUGGUCUUAGCCCAGAGGGAUUUGUCUUGAGUGAAGUUUGAAGAAAAUCCUUUCAGCAGUUUCUGAGUUAUUUAAAUAUAACCAUGGAGGUUUGGAUUCACAUGCUUUUUUGCACUUGUAUAACUCAAAAAUAGCUUUGCUUUAAAACUUCUAAAUUAACCCUCCUUAACUUUUCAACUUGUCACCUAUCCUACUGUAUGGCUUAUAAAAUUUUAAAGGUAAUAGUAUAACAAACUCAAAUAAUGAUACUGCAGAUGUUCAAAUGAAUCUUGGGAGGAAUAAAUUAUAGGAGUCACAGUAGGUUGUUUCUGAAGAGAGAGCGGCUGCACACCUUAAACCAUGUGUUCUUACUGGUCUGAAAUAGGCCCAAUCUUUUAUACUAUUAAAAAGUGUAAGUAUGUUCGGAUGUGGAUUUUAAUACUUGGUUACAUACAUGAAAUGAAGCACCUAAGUCCUGUUCCUUUUUGUCUUCCUGACAGCAGUGGUUCAGACUUGUCAGAAGUUUUACUGUUUUCUUUUUAACAUGAUCCUGAUGAACAGGACACUUAAAUACCUCCUAAAUAUUUAUAGACUUCAGAGUCACUCAAAUGCUCUGUAAUUGUCUUACUGUUACUAUGUUACUGUCAGAAGAUUGAGGCAGUACCAGAAGUGAUUGGUUAGUUUUUUUUUUUUUCCUUUUUCUUUGUCCAGUCCUCCUGUUUCUUACAUUUCUUCCGUUUUGUCUUCUUUCCAGUGUUUCUGCCUUGCUUACUAGUCCUGUCCUCUGUCUUUCAUACAUCUGUCUCCAUUUAUUCUUCUCUAACAAUUGCACUAAAGUGGGCCCAUGAUAGAGAGAAAUACUUUUUGCCUUGGCAGCAGCCUUUUCCUUUUGUCUUUUCCCUAAAUGUCUGGGAUGGGUCCAGGCAGCUCUCCCCAUGUUCAACAUCCUUCUCCACAUCCCUGGUGCCCCUGAGCUCCAGCCAGCAAUUCAGUGUCUGCCACAAGAGCACCUCCCAUUGAGCCAUGCUCAGAUGAAGGUGUUGUAAUGCCUCGUGCUACUUUCCCUGCUCACCACACUUGCUCAGCCUCUUUCUAGGAACUGGACACCUGUACCAGGCCUUUCCUACAGAAUAAUGACAGAUAGCACUGCUGCCUUUUCCAUGUCUUGCCUCUGUGCUCCUCUGCUGUUCUUUCUCUAAUAGGCUUUUGUGGUUCAGUCUGCUCGCUGGUGCCAUUAAGCUGAGACACACAAGGCUUGUCUUCUGCUCUGCCCAGGGCGAGGUGAGCUGGAAUCUCUUGCUCCCCUAAAUCAGCACUCUACGCAAGAGAUUAUCAGCUGUUCUGCAAGGAGUGUGUCCUUGCAGUCCUGAGUGUGUGUGUCCUGAGUCCUUCCUUCAAGUGGGGAAGCUUGCUCUGGGCUUGUCAGCUGCGUAGUGGAGAAACACGUCUGUCAGGCCCUACCCUGAGAAAUACAAAAUAUGGAAGUAUUCACUGGAAAGGGGAAACAGAACCCAGGUUUCUUGCCCUCGGUAAUGUGCUGAGACUAGUUAUUCCUUACAAACUGGAGCAGUUCCAGGGGAAUGGAUCAGAGAGAUACCCUAUUCCACUGGAUUCUUUCAGCCUGUGCUGGUCUCAGUUGGCUGCUGAGAGUCCUGUUGUGGGAAUGGGUAGUGAGGAAAUAUGUGGAGGCUGGAAGAGAGGGAAGGAAGAGGUGCUUCUGCACAUACUGCAUUAUCCACAGUGACAGGUCCAUAUCCUUAGCAGACACACACACCUGCUGGUACUGCCUCUGUGGCCAUUCCGGACAGGAGUGACAAUGAAAAUGCAGUGGAGGGAAAAGAAAUCUGCUAAAAGACAGGGCAGCAGACUGGGGCACUGUAAGGAUAAUUGCUUCUAAAGGUGAAAAUACAACAAAAACAGCCUAGAGAGUCUUAAAAUACAAAAUCAAUGCCAAAGAAGAGGAAGCCAAAAUGACUUGCAGAGCUUGUCUACAGGCAGUUGUUCCCCAGCACAAGCCAGACUCUGUCAAUAUGUGGGAGACAUCCAGGAAUUUUCUCUCAUACAAAAUUAUUAGGGAUGUUAUAUGUUUUAACUCUAAUGGAAAAGCUGGACCUCUAGUGCUCAGUUCCAAGGGAAAAUACUAGCCACUGGAAGAGCUGUGGUAGCACGGCUGUGUGUGUGUGUGUUUGUGUGUGUGCGGCUGCUCCCUUUUCUCUUAGCUAUUCUAUAGCUUCCUUCAUUCUUCGCUUCUCUCAUAUUACAGAAAGAAGGUAAUUUUUCCUGGCCAUUUACUAAAGCUCAUUAAAGACCGAAGAGAACAAACAAUGCUACUCCUUAGAGACUACCAUUCAAAGUCAUUCUACAAUUCUCUGUUCUAAUACUUGAGACAAAUUAAUUAUUCCUUAGUGAAAAGUAUAUAAUUCCUAUUCUUCAUUUUUGGGGUGGGGAGUGGGGAAUAAUAAUAGGAAGUUUAUAUCUGAGUCGAAAGCUGUCUGUGCUAAAGGGAAAUGAGAAAAAAUGCGUGUUCCGAGAAGAGUAAAAGCAAUUAUUCUAAUAAUAAUUCUAGGGAUAUUAAUGUCUUUUAAAAGUAGAUUGCUUUCAAAUAAACACCAAAGUUGAAGGGAUAGGAAAGGCUGGUUUAUUUAUUAAUCAUUCCAAAAGUGCAUUUUUCUAAAUGAACAAGUGCAUGAGCAACUUCACUGGCACAUAUUAAAUUUAGUGAAAUGGCAACUUGUAAAUGUCUAAAAACUUCUGUAACCAGAGACUAAUUUGUUUAACGUGUUGAAAAUGUUAUGUGGAUGUGAGGAACUACAUAUUAAACUUCAAAGCAAAAUGCUCCAGAGAUUACACCAUCUUAAAUACCGCGUAUUGGAAAGGCCUUUAUACAUUAAACAUAAAGGAUUUUUAAUUCUCUUCUAUUUUGAAUACUUGUCAAUCUGCGUGACUCAUGCUCGGGAUUGUAAACUGUCAUUUAAGGUGUGAUGUCCAAGUUGAGGCCUGGACCACAAUUUGCAAGGGACUGGCUUUUCUCUUUCAUCUCUAUUAAUUAAUCCUGUCUCAGUUUGCCCAGCGUACACUGCUGUUGACAUCACCUUUUCCAUAUACUUUAAAGAGUCCCCCGAGAGAUCUACUGCAGAACAAAAACUGGACAGAGAAUACAUUUGGAAACCAUUUUAUUUCUCAAUUACCAACCAAAACGUAUGGAAAAGAUUUACACUCUAUCUGAUUUACACAAUAAUUAUACUUUGAAAGCUUAGAAAUAAAUGGCUUGAUCCGUGGAAUCAUUAGUUACUAUACCAAAUGUAAUUGGUGUAAACUAAUGAGUUUACUGGAUGGCUGACCCUUAAUUACUGAUUAUAGUUAAAUGCUAGCCAAUCAAAAAUGAGUUUACUUAUAAAAGUACAGUAUAGUAUUAACAAGCAUUACAUUUCCAAGUAAGCAGCUUUAUGAUUAGUUGUAGUGCACAACUCAAGCCUGUUCAGGGCUAUGAAAAGCAGCUUUUUAAUAAUAGUGCACUAAGCAACCAUCACUCUCUUACCUCAGCGUCUAUCAGACAAACAGAAAGAAACCACAUAAUUAAUCAUCUCAUGCACUAGAAAUAAAGCGUCUGGGCCAGAUCCAGCCAAGAUAUACACAGCUGUAGUCAGAAGAGCUGCAAGAGGCUGAGGAUUUGCUUUAAAAUAGGAUACCUGAUGUGGGCAAUUCUGUCCCUCUGUGGGAGCAAUACAUAGUAAGGAUGUUAAAUAUUGAUUGAUUGUGCACAGUCCUGUGUGAUGGGGAGAAGCCCAUCAACAAAGUUGGUUUAAUAAUUCCUUGAAUUGAGGACGAUUCCUUGAGCAGAUUCUGUAUGUGGUGAGAAGAUAUCUGCUUACUCUACUAGCAACCCUCAACAUGCAGAAAUGCACAACUCCUCACUAUGUAUUACGUCAAAUGAAGAGUCAACUUUUAAAUAAAUUAGUAAAUGAAGAGAAAAUCUUUAUAUUUGUUUCUGGUUGAUCCUUAAGAGUUAAUGUUUUUACCUAACCAGGAAAACUCAGCAUUCUUACUUGAAAAAAUUGAAAGCAGAUUUGUAUAAAAGAGCAUCAUUCCAGAGUUGCAACUUUAAAUAGAUACACCAAAUAUUUGGAUAAAAUCAUAGGACUUUACAAUAUUUGCAGUCGUAUUCUUAGAGCCACUUAGGUAAGUAACGACAAUGUUUUAAAGAUGUGGAAAUUCUCCAUCUCCUCUAACUUUCCUGUGAAUCCUAAACUUCAGACAGGAGACUGCUUCCGGGAAGCAUGUGCAUUAGAAAAUCAAGUCUGAUGCAUUGCAGCCACGGGGAUCUGGUUGGAAGAGUAUGCAUUCGCUGGAGCUCUGUAACCCAUGUGCUCUUCAGAUGACCUCAUGCACCUCACAGCUGCCAGGAUUCAUCCUGUCUGGAUUACAGAUGUCUGAGGUCAAGAAAAGGUUAAAGUUCUUCACUGCUUUCAAGCCCUGGCCUUAGAAGUUAAUUCAGUGCUGUGCUGCAAGAGCUACAGUAAACAGUCACCAUAAACAUCCAGAUGUAUUAGCAGAAACUGCUCCUUCCCAUCGAUCACGUACACCAAAAUCCUUGGAAACUCUUAAGUUGUGGACUUCCCCUGAAGUCUUAACAGAGAAAAUGGCUCAAGUGAACAUUCCUCCAUUCCUUCACCGGAGCCCAAAUCAGCUGUGACAAGCAUCUCCUCUGUGGGUAGGUGCAAAAUAUACGGCGAAGAUAUUGGCCGUGGAUCCCUUCUGUAAAUAACCUCAUCCAGAGGUUAUGGGACCUUCACAAGGAUACCAGUUGUACUCCUCCAUGGCAGUGUGUUACAGUAAGUAACUCGCUUCCUGGAUGCGCUCAUAACAGCCAGAUAUUCUAAUGACACAGGAUAUGCUACUGGACAUGUCUUUAAAAAGUCUUUCAAUGCAAUUAUUAAGGUAUUAUGUGCAGAUAACGCCACCAAAAACAUUAAGAUGCUGUUUAUUCAAUUGGGCAUGAAACUGCUUCCUUCUGAAAAUUUUAAACGUACUUGGAUAGUUAAUUAAACAAUUAAUAAGGGCUAGAGUUAAGUUUCUAUUUUCGUUGUAACAAAUUAUUCCAGAGCAUUGUUUUAACUUAAUUCUGCAUAGGACUCUUUUUGGAAACCACACCGAAGUGCAGCUACAAUGUUCAAAAAGAAAUGUUCCUUUGACAAAUGAAAUCUUAAAAAUGGCUACAAGAAAGUAAAAGUCAGCUCUGAGCGGAAAACAUUUAGUAUGUUUUGACGAUUUCUUAUCUCAGACAGAAGAGAAGACAAGUUGAUUUUCUCUGCUGAAACUUUUUGAAGUGAGUUCUGACUGAAAAGAUGUGGUGGUGUUUUAACAAAAACAUAUUGUUAUAAAACAUGAUGUAUGCUCAGAAGCAUUAAUGUGUACCUCUGCUUUAGGUUUGAACAUUUCAGUCCAUUGAACUAGCCAGUUUCAUUUAUUUUUUAAAAUUUUUAAAUUUUUUAAAAAUUCUUAUCCAAUUGAUCUUUUUUUUGUUGUUCUAUAAGUUUACAGUAGUUCAAUGGCUGCUUUUAUCUAUGAUUUAGGUUUUCAAACAGCACCAAACUCUGCUGUCCUGUCCUAUAAUCUGGCCGUUUAUUAUAGUGACUAGUGAACAGAGGCAACAUGUUAGUGCAAGCACUAUAAAAAUAUCUGCAAAGAAACAUUAUUUCACUCUAAAGGAUAAGUUCCAUAAGAAUUUAUAUUCUUAAGUAUUGGCAAAAGUACGGAUUUUUCUUGUUGAAGAUGGCAAUAUCUGAAUCAUAAAUACAUUCAUGUUUAUAUUUGUGACAAGAUAUCAUUUUACAGAUUUGUAAUCAGGGAAAUCAAUUGCCGGUAUCCAUUUAAGAAAAUCAAAAUAAUUUAACUGAUUUACUUAAAAAAUGCCUUGUUAGAGUACGGAAUUUAAAGUCCUCUUUCAAAAUUAAGGUUGUUUUGUAUAAUGAACUUAUUAUUACAUAUUACAUUACUACAUAGUGGCAUCUAAAGACUUUUGAUUUAAAACAUGAAUUCCUUGUAAGUUCAAACUGAUGUCUUUGCCUUUAGUUACAGAACUCAAUUUCAGGACUUUCUGCUGCUGGUGGCUCGUGGCAAUAUAUCAGUUCUUCCAAUAGGGAUGUGCUCAGGACAAAUUAGUGAACAUAAUUUUAGCUGUAUGAGGUCAUUACAAAUAUAGUCUUAGCUCUUCCUAGAGUGGACUUCAUUGUUAAUAUAAAUAUAUAUCUAUAGUUACUGACAUUUAUAUUAUUUGGCUCCUGUCCUAAGUUAUGGAUACAGUGAUGAUAAAAGCCCUUACCUAAGUGAGUCAUGCUUACUAAUUACUUCCAUAGUACUGGGUUCCUGUAAAUAAAGUUACUCAUGUAUUUAUAAGCAAGUCAAAAUUUAUACAUAUGUUUCUACGAGUGAGUUAUCUUUCUCUCUGGGGCAAACGGCACAGUCUGCUGUUUGGAAAAGAAUGCUGAGAGUAAGGCCAUCCAGGGUGCUUCCUUGCUUCUGUGAGGGUGCGUGCUCUCCCCUGUCAUUGGAUAUCCAACUAAAAUACUUAAUCUGGUCACAUUUUUAAAUUGUUUAAGACCCUUCUGCAUUACUUCAAGGUAAGAAAUGGCUGUUGAUUUUACCUCACUGUUUCCAAAGAGGCUGGGGUGAGAGGGUUUAAGUCUAAUUGUUUGUUCAAAAGAUGUAGUGUGCAAGACACAAAGCCUAGCAGUGUGACAUGGAAGAUCUCAAGACAAAGCAGCAGCCUCAGCAUUUCUCUCUAAUGAGAACAGGAAUAGACAACUGAGAUCCCAUAGGAAUGCAGUAUAUUUAGGAAAGAAGCAGAGCUCCUUUCAUGAAUGGAGAGAGAACCCUUGUGAAUGCUGGACUACCUGCUGUCUCUGGGUGUGACUAGGUGUGUGAAGGAUUUGGAUCACAGCCUGUAACGUUUUCCAGGCAUUUAGAUUGCAACUACUAUGCCAGCAAUUUUAUGCCUUCCUUUCCCUGACUCCAACAGUACACGAUAUAAGCAGCCAGAUUUUCUUCUGCGUCGUGUUUUUUAUCCAUUCAGCCAAAAUUAACAGUCUUCGAGGAUAAUGUAUGCCAAGUGAAUUUAAAUCUUGCGGACUCAAAUCGACCUAAAGUUGAUGGAUACAUUCAUGCCUACUGCUGAAAUCUACCAAUUACACGGAACUAUGCUAACUUACCAUAGAAACAUCUCAUCUAAUAGCACAGAUGAUGUUGAACUAACUAAUUACAUUAUGGCACAUAGACAAUGAAAAACAUAACGAAGAUGACAGCACAGCAACAACAGAUGCUGCACAAAAGAAAAAUUAGAAAAAUAUUGCUCUGCAAAAUGCUGUCUGUUAAGGUUUCUUCUGUUAAAAUUAAUCACAAAAAUUAGUGAAGAUUAGAUUUCAGCAGAAGAUAUGAGCAUUGUAAUGCUAUUUGGAAAACAUCAUUAAACCAUUUAAAGUCCUACUCCUUCAGAAGGUAAUUCCCAUUUUUUCGUAUCACUAUCAGUUUUAAGAUGAGUAAACAGUUUAGUGCCGAUGGCAGAGUUUCUUGGGAGAAUAUCUUUCCCAGUGAGGAGAGGUCCCGAUGGCUCUUCCAGAGCCUUGUUUGGUAGCUUCCAGCCAUUACAGCUUAGAUAAUUAGGCAACUCAGAUUUUAUUUUAGCUUGGCAUUUGCUCUGUUCUGUGCUCUUGGCUGUCAGUGACAGUUGAUUAUCUGUAGCGUGCCUUGUUACUUUAUAUAUUUUAAACUGUAACGGAUCCUAAAUACCAAAUCUGAAACUGCUGAGUAUGUUUAAAUGUAAUAUAUACAUGGAGAUUACAUCCAGAUGAUAUACUUCAUAGACCUGUGAUAAAAAAUGCAUCACUUCUAGCCACCACACUGCUCCUCACCCCUUUCUCCCCCCCCCCCCCAGUAGCUUUCCAUGAGCUCCCAGCUGCUUCAGCACCGAUCCUGAAUGUAAUCCUGCUGAUGGAGAGAGACAGAAAUAGGCUUUUCCCCUAAAUCAUAACUCUGAUGCUACUCAAGUUUCAAUACCUUAUUGGCUCUGUAAGAAAGCAGAACAUAUAUUUGA